UGCAGUCGACGAUGAUCUGGUGCUUGCACUGGUGAUUAGUGGCGAACGGGUGAGUAACACGUGAGUAACCUGCCCUUAACUCUGGGAUAAGCCUGGGAAACUGGGUCUAAUACCGGAUAUGACUCCUCAUCGCAUGGUGGGGGGUGGAAAGCUUUUUGUGGUUUUGGAUGGACUCGCGGCCUAUCAGCUUGUUGGUGAGGUAAUGGCUCACCAAGGCGACGACGGGUAGCCGGCCUGAGAGGGCGAUCGGCCACACUGGGACUGAGACACGGCCCAGACUCCUACGGGAGGCAGCAGUGGGGAAUAUUGCACAAUGGGCGAAAGCCUGAUGCAGCGACGCCGCGUGAGGGAUGAAGGCCUUCGGGUUGUAAACCUCUUUCAGCAGGGAAGAAGCAGCUGGGUUUUCUCAGGUGUGACGGUACCUGCAGAAGAAGCACCGGCUAACUACGUGCCAGCAGCCGCGGUAAUACGUAGGGUGCAAGCGUUGUCCGGAAUUAUUGGGCGUAAAGAGCUUGUAGGCGGUUUGUCGCGUCUGCUGUGAAAUUUCGGGGCUCAACCCCGAACUUGCAGUGGGUACGGGCAGACUAGAGUGUGGUAGGGGAGACUGGAAUUCCUGGUGUAGCGGUGAAAUGCGCAGAUAUCAGGAGGAACACCGAUGGCGAAGGCAGGUCUCUGGGCCACUACUGACGCUGAGAAGCGAAAGCAUGGGGAGCGAACAGGAUUAGAUACCCUGGUAGAAUCACUAGUGAAUUC
rnacentral:rRNA from 1 species